UACGGGGGGAGCAAGCGUUGUUCGGAUUUACUGGGCGUAAAGGGCGCGUAGGCGGUAGCACAAGUCAGUUGUGAAAUCUCCGGGCUUAACCUGGGAAUGGCAUUUGGGACUGCAAGGCUCGAGUGCGGCAGAGGAGACUGGAAUUCCUGGUGUAGCAGUGAAAUGCGUAGAUAUCAGGAGGAACACCGAUGGCGAAGGCAGGUCUCUGGGCUGACACUGACGCUCAUGCACGAAAGCGUGGGGAGCAAACAGG
rnacentral:rRNA from 1 species